AAAUUGAAGAGUUUGAUCAUGGCUCAGAUUGAACGCUGGCGGCAGGCCUAACACAUGCAAGUCGAACGGUAACAGAAAGCAGCUUGCUGUUUCGCUGACGAGUGGCGGACGGGUGAGUAAUGUCUGGGAAACUGCCUGAUGGAGGGGGAUAACUACUGGAAACGGUAGCUAAUACCGCAUAACGUCGCAAGACCAAAGAGGGGGACCUUCGGGCCUCUUGCCAUCGGAUGUGCCCAGAUGGGAUUAGCUUGUUGGUGGGGUAACGGCUCACC
rnacentral:rRNA from 1 species